UACAGAGGAUGCAAGCGUUAUCCGGAAUGAUUGGGCGUAAAGCGUGUGUAGGCGGCUUUUUAAGUCCGCUGUCAAAUCCCAGGGCUCAACUCUGGACAGGCGGUGGAAACUACCAAGCUGGAGUCCGGUAGGGGCAGAGGGAAUUUCCGGUGGAGCGGUGAAAUGCGCAGAGAUCGGAAAGAACACCAACGGCGAAAGCACUCUGCUGGGCCGACACUGACACUGAGAGACGAAAGCUAGGGGAGCGAAUGGG
rnacentral:rRNA from 1 species